rnacentral:lncRNA from 1 species
CACAUGCAUGCACACAAAACCUAAUUCUCCAAUUCUGGACAGGGAAAAGUCCAGAGAAGAAGAAUCAUUCAUUUAAAUUAAACCAAAUUUUGCAAACACUUGACCUCUUUUGUGAAGUAACUUUGAGCUUUAAAAUAGUUAAAACUCUCUGCUAUAGGAUACGAACUACCUAGAAUGCAAAGAACUAAUUUAUUCAUUUAACUUUUUUUGAGAACCAUCCUGUGAAGAAAACUAUUUCAAAGAGGAUAUAUCAAAAUAAUAAUAAUAAUAAUAAUAAUAAUAACAAAGACCUUUUUUUCAUUAAGGAGCUGACAAUCUAAUCCUGCAUUCUGGAGGAGCACAAAACAGCAAAAAACACAAAGUUAAAUACUCAAUAUACACAGAACAUAAAGGCAACUAGGAUACUCAUAGGUACAAGCAUUCACUUUUGCUGGUAGGAGGUAACCCGUAUUUGUGAAAUUAGUAUUUACUCUGGAGCAAAAAAUGAUGUACUAGCUCAUCAUUUGGAUAGUGGAUAAAAAGAGUUGGUCUCAUGGGGGUUAUUAUUUAGUUCAGGGGGCUGAGAAGUAAAGAAAUAACCAGUUACACAUUGUGAUAAAUACUGUGAUUAAAAAAAACCAGAGUAGUAUGAGAAAAAUAUCUUAGGGGACCUACUUUAAACAGGUGGCAUGGACACAGAGAUCUUGGAAGACUUGUUUGAGAAGAUGACACUUAAGGAAGCAAGGAAUGACAUAGUCAGGAAAGGGAUGGGAAAGAUGCAGGCAGAGGAAACAUGUGGGUGAACUCCCUAGAGAAGUCAUCACCUUGGCAUGUUAGAGGAAAUGGAAGAAAGGCACAUGACGAGAAUAAAGGGAAGCAGAAUAGCCUGAGAUGAGUGUGGAAGAGUAGGCUGAUUAGGCAAAGUUUUCAAGGUAUUGUUGGGAGUGGGUUUAUUUGGAAAAUUUCUUAGAUGGAUCACAACUUCUUUUUUAUUUAGAUCUCAAUCAAUUAACGAUGACUGAAACCAGGCACAAUGUUAGGCAGCGAGAUGAAAUGAGAUGAGUUUUCCUGAGAUGGACUAUCGCUGCUUACUGAUAAGCAGCGCCAGGGCUUGGCUGAGAAUACAGUGUCUCCUUUCCUAAGCUCAGUUCUUACCCUUGGUCUUAUCAUAAGCAUUCAGAGAUAUUAAUAGUCUUAUCUAUGCUCUGCUCAUUAUUAGUAAGAAGAAAUUACAAAAGAGAAAACUGCCUUCAUCAGAAGAAACUUCUUUAAUCUAGUUAUAACUAGAUAAUGUUUUACAUCUGCUUCUGAGACAUCCCAAAGGAAAGUCUUUUAUUAUUAGCAUUGCCAGAGUUGUGCUAAGUCUGCUGUAUGCCAAAUGCAUUGGAAAAUCCCACUGACAGCCAUGGUUGUUGUGAUGUUUGGAAAUUACAAGCAGUGAUAAGAUGUUCGGUGUCCCACCUGCUCCAAUGAAUCGGAAGAAGCUAAAAUAGAACUUGGAGGAUGAUAAGUGUGAAGAAGAAUAUGUAGCCUGUCUUCAAUGCCCUGAUUGUGGGAGGGAAAAUUCUAAACAUUUCUAUAGUCAGCCAUUUCCUAUUUGGUCUGGGAUGUUCUGCUUUAAAGGAUUAGGAAAGCAAAACAUAACAUAGAUUUUUCCAGCCUGCUAGAAUUUUUCAUCUUUUAAAAAAAUGCUACUUAUUUUACAAUUGAGUUAUAACUGACAUAGAACAUUAUAUUCAUUUCAGGUGUAUAAUUUAAUGAUUUGACAUUUGUAUAUAUUGAGAAAUGAUCAUUAUGAUAAUUCUAGCUAACAGUCAUCACCAUACAUAGUUACAAUAUAAGUGGAAUCAUACAGCAUUUAUCUUUCUUAUUUAACUUAGAAUAAUACCCUCAAGGUCUAUCUAUGCUAUUGCAAAUGGAAGCCUGCUAGAAUAUUUGCAGAACUUUUCCAACUUUAAUGUCCCUGUAACUCAUCCGGAGGUACUGUUAAGAUGUGGAUUUUGCUUCAGGAAGUUACAUAUGGCGCUGAUAUCCUGUAUUUCUAACAAGCUCCUGGGGAUGCAUUACUGGUUCAUGAGCCAAAAUUUGUAAGGAGCUAUAAAAUCUAUUGUAGAAUUAGAGGGAUGAAAAGGUGAUGAGAGAUAUUGGUAAGACAACUUUGUCCUAAAUCUAUUAUCCUACUUAGGAGUUUUAGAGCCCUGAAUGCCAUAAUGACUGGUUUCCUCCUGUGUGUUUCCCUCUCUUGUUAUCUUUUUCAAAAUGCAAAUAAUUGAUGAGCCGAAAUACAUCAAAGUUCAACAAAUUCUAUUGUGUUUACUUCUUUUUUUUUCUUGUCAUAUUAUUUCUUUUUUUUUAAUUUUAUUUUUCCACUGUACAGCAAGGGGAUCAAGUUAUCCUUACAUGUAUACAUUACAAUUACAUUUUUUCCCCACCCUUUGUUCUGUUGCAACAUGAGUAUCUAGACAAAGUUCUCAAUGCUACUCAGCAGGAUCUCCUUGUAAAUCUAUUCUAAGUUGUGUCUGAUAAACCCAAGCUCCCGAUCCCUCCCACUCCCUCCCCCUCCCAUCAGGCAGCCUUUUCUCCAAGUCCAUGAUUUUCUUUUCUGAGGAGAUGUUCAUUUGUGCUGAGACAGCUACUUUUCUGAAAUACAAAUCCUGUAUCAUAACCCAUCCUAAAAUCUUUUAAUGGCUCCAAAUUUUCCUUCUGGAUAAAAUUUAACAGAAUCCUGAGAGGGAUUUUUUCUGUUGCUCUGAAAUUAUAGUAAAGCCCAAAGUUGAGGAUAAAAGCCACUAAGUUUCUCACAUCCUAAAUUCAAAUAGCUGCUAGGAGACCUUAACAAGUUACAGACAGAUAAGGGAAUUUUUAACAGGUAAUUGGCCAUAAGCAGUUGUGGAAGCUGUUUAAGCAGUCUGUGUAAGGAUGUUGUCUCUGGGUUGGCGAGAAGGGUGGAUGGUUGUAAAGCAGGGAGAUGGAGAGCUGGAAAACACAAGCUCAGCCUGGAACCUCAUGGAAACUCUGUCUGUUCUCAUCUCUGACCUGGUGACAAUGGUCCCUGUAGAAGCCAGGGUCAUUUAUCACAAAAAUAAACACAUGUACCUUGCCAAGAAGUUGGAGAAGCUAAAAAGGAUUCAGAAGAAGAUAGAACAAUUUCAGAUCUAGCUCCUGUUUUGUGAAAACAAAGUGAGUCAGCAGAUGAGCAGACAUUCACAUUGGCUAAAUAAUAAAUGCUGCUUCUCUCCACCCUCCAAAUCACCCAAAAACCUUCCCUGUAAUACACUCUAACCAUAAACAUACAAGAAUGUGAGUACUGGAAAAUAUAGUUCAGUAAAGAUGACACAUUAUGGUCAUCACAAUGGGUUUAUUUUUUAAAAUAGGUUCAUAGGACCAUAUUACUUUUUUUCAGAGUAUUUAUCCUAGAACUUGAAAGUAUAUUUCUCCUUUAUGAGGUAAUGAGCCUUACUAAGGCAGAAGAUAGCCUUCAUUCUGUCUGUCACUAUCUUCGUAGUGACCAGCAGAAGACUUCACACUUAAAUAGACCCUCUUAUUUACUGAAUAAUGAAUGAAUGGAUGGAUGGAUGGAUGGAUGGAUGGAUGGGUGGAUAAAUAAAAGCCAUACAAAAGUAGGGAUAAAAUAUAUUUGGUGUAGAGUUCUCUGGUGACUCAUAGGUGAAGGAUCUGGCAUUGUUAUGUCCGUGGCACCAAUUUGAUCCCUGAUCCAGGAACCUCUGAAUGCUGCAGGGACAGCCUAAAAAAUAAAACAAAACAAAACAAAAAACCCCACCAAACCAAAAAAACAAAACAAUAAAAAUAUAUGUAUUUGGCAUGCAUCAAUUUUUUAAAAUGUGAAGGCCCUGGGCCCAUGGGAUAUAUGAAAUAAUAUCCAAAAAGAACUCUUUCCAGGUGUAAGUUAAUUCCAGCCAAUAUGGUAUAGCAGGGAUCAGAUUUACCCUCCUCUUCAAAACAUCCAAAAAAAUAACCACAGACAUAUACAAAACAGCACUGUUCAAGACAUGAAGCAAAAGGCAAUGAGGAACAGUGAUCCUUGAGAAACAAGAAAAAAAUGAGGUGAAUCCUAUAAUUGAUUCUGCUUAUUGCCUUGAGAGAGUUUCCAGGCCAUGGUGCACUGGGGGAACCACAGGUAGAACCAGACAGGUUCCCUGAGUUGAGGGAACAGAGCUCAGAGUCCAAGGAAACCAAGACAAUUAGAGUUCACAGGACAGAGUACUGGAAGGGAGAAAACCCACAGAUGGAUUCACACAAGUCUGCAGAGCGUUUUUGUAGAGUAUGUAGCAGAGGAUUGAUCAGAGCAUGAACAUGAGAAAAUCACCUGAAAUGAGAGAAAAAACCACCCAGAAGGAAGAAAGGUUAAAUUGUUUGGCACUCACACAGGGCUAAAUGUAGUAACACAGAACUGACACAGGUUUUUUUUUUUUAAUUAGGAGACAAGUGCAGGUCUCUUCAAGAAGAUAGAACUCAAAGACGCUGGCCAAGACAAGACAAUUACCAGACCCUUAGCAUUGUCCCACCCAUCUUAUUGUAAUAUCCCCUCCCCUUAAAAUAUCUGGCCCACUCCUUCCUUCUCCCUAUUAGGAAAGGUAUAUGGCCCAGCCCUCACCUUACCCCUUAUAAGUCCCUAACCAACCAGCAAGUGUAUCAUAAGACCCCUCUUUGGAGUUCCCGUUGUGGCGCAGUGGUUAACGAAUCCAACUAGGAACCAUGAGGUUGCGGGUUCGAUCCCUGCCCUUGCUCAGUGGGUUGAGGACCCAGAGUUGCCGUGAGCUGUGGUGUAGGUUGCAGACGUGGCUCGGAUCCUGAAUUGCUGUGGCUGUGGUGCAGGCCGGCAGCUACCGCUCCAAUUAGACUUCUAGCCUGGGACUCUCCAUAUGCUGCGAGAGCGGCCCUAGAAAUG